rnacentral:rRNA from 1 species
UACGGGGGGGGCAAGCGUUGUUCGGAAUUACUGGGCGUAAAGGGCUCGUAGGCGGCCAACUAAGUCAGGCGUGAAAUCCCUCGGCUUAACCGGGGAACUGCGUCUGAUACUGGAUGGCUUGAGGUUGGGAGAGGGAUGCGGAAUUCCAGGUGUAGCGGUGAAAUGCGUAGAUAUCUGGAGGAACACCGGUGGCGAAGGCAAUCCCCUGGGCCUGCACUGACGCUCAUGCACGAAAGCGUGGGGAGCAAACAGG